CCUUAAUUUUUGGUUUAAACUAACGAUUUAAAAGCAUCCAAAUGUAAGCACAUACCACAAAAGGAUUCGAUUCUUGGUCUAUUGUGCUGUCUGACACGUUUCCCCAUCAUAGGUCAGUAAUGGAUUCCACUUCGCGUCACCCCCUUCUAAAAAAUAUGGAAACUUAAAUAAAACACUGAUGGCAAUCAAAACAAAAUUUUAAGUACAAAAUGUGUUUGAGCUUCAAGAAUGCUGAACCAUUGAGCGCCACCAGGAUUUCAUACAAGAUAAUUUUGGGACUAGGGGUUUUACAACUUUGAGAAUGGGCCAUAAAGAUGUCAUGUAUUUUCCUAUUAGUUCCUGAUGCUAUUUCCCAAUUCAUGGAAUUAGUCCAGGGAUAUUUCUUGAUUGCUCGCCAAAUUACCGAUGGUGCACUUUUCACCUUUAACAUUGUUUGUCGUUCGUGCCUUAAACCAUACGCGGUGAUUGUUUUCUGUUACAUAAUUCUAUAAGCUGGCUAAUUUCUAUUUCCAUAGAAGCCUUUGCAAAUAUCGAGCAAACGUGGUAAUUGUAAAUCAUUUUG